rnacentral:rRNA from 1 species
AUACGAGAACGGGCUAAAAUAGUACUUUGGACACUCGUAAACAGGUGGUGCAUGGUUGUCGUCAGCUCGUGUCGUGAGAUGUUGGGUUAAGUCCCGCAACGAGCGCAACCCUCGUUCUAUGUUGCCAGCACGUUAAGUUGGGAACUCAAAGGAGACUGCCGGGGUCAACUCGGAGGAAGGUGGGGAUGACGUCAAAUCAUCAUGCCCCUUAUGUCUUGGGCUUCACACAUGCUACAAUGGCCGGUACAAAGGGCUGCAAUACCGUGAGGUGGAGCGAAUCCCAAAAAGCCGGUCUCAGUUCGGAUUGGGGUCUGCAACUCGACCUCAUGAAGUCGGAGUUGCUAGUAAUCGCAGAUCAGCAACGCUGCGGUGAAUACGUUCCCGGGCCUUGUACACACCGCCCGUCAAGUCACGAAAGUUGGUAACACCCGAAGCCGGUGGCCUAA